rnacentral:lncRNA from 1 species
UACAGGUGCAUGGGGAGACAGGCACACCUCCCUGAUUUUCUCGAGCUUGAUAAGUGGGGUUUGUAGAGCUACAGGCCUACAAGUUCAGCCUGGGGAGGCACCGGAGAAACCAAGUCCAUAUAUCAAGUGCCUCACACUCGAGGCCUAGGACCGAGCUAAAAUUAAAUAUUAACAGAAGUUGGAAAAUGAGCACCGUCGACAGCAACAUGCUAAAGAAGGGCAAGCAGCUGAGGACUUGAAAAUGCCACAAGCUCCGCCACCACCGGCUGACAUGGAUACCCAGUUAUUGAGGCAAAUGUUUGCCACUAUGACUGGACAUAACCGAAACAUGCAGCAUCUUUAGCACUCAUUUGGAGCAUUGAGUGCCACCAUCCAGCAGGUGUAGACCGAUAUGUCAACCACGCGAAACUUUGUUUCCACUGCCAGCAGUGAGUCCCUUGCGGUAUGAUGACAGAUGAGUACCUUUGACGGGCGAUUGGGCAUGUACGUUGGCAGGAUGGAUGGUAUACAGUGGCGGGUAAACGAGACUUUGGACCAUCUAGGGAGUUUGGAGACAAGGGUCAGGUGGAGCAGACCCAGCAGUCUACCAUGUUGAGAGAGAUCUCGUCCCGCCUUCCUCCCCCUCUUGGAGAUGAUGAUGCCAGACCCAACCUUCCGUCACAGCCACCAUUUUGAUUAGG